rnacentral:lncRNA from 1 species
UAAAUUUAAAAAAAUAUUUUGUGACAAUAUAUCUAUGAUUGUUUGUUUCUCGUUAAAGGAUCUUUAAUAAAAAUCUGAAUAAUACGAUGUUUUAUUUUCGUGGGACGACGAAGCUGCUUUUGUGUGUCCAUAUGUGUACAUUUUCUUGAUCAUCUUUGUCUCUUCCCUAUAAAGCUAGAGUUAUCUUCUGCUCUUCUUUUUU